rnacentral:pre_miRNA from 1 species
GUGAUACACCCUUCGUUCGAAAAAGUUUGUCUUAAGUCUGUUUCUUAAAUGGAUGUAUCUAGCACUAACUUGGUGUUAGAUAUAUCCAUUUGAGGGACAAUUUUUUUCGGACGGAGAGAGUACCUA